rnacentral:rRNA from 1 species
ACCAGACUCCUACGGGAGGCAGCAGUGAGGAAUAUUGGUCAAUGGACGAGAGUCUGAACCAGCCAAGUAGCGUGAAGGAUGACUGCCCUAUGGGUUGUAAACUUCUUUUAUAAAGGAAUAAAACGAGGCACGUGUGCCUUUUUGCAUGUACUUUAUGAAUAAGGAUCGGCUAACUCCGUGCCAGCAGCCGCGGUAAUACGGAGGAUCCGAGCGUUAUCCGGAUUUAUUGGGUUUAAAGGGUGCGCAGGCGGAAGCGGCAAGUCAGGGGUAAAAUUGCGGGGCUCAACCUCGCCGAGCCGUUGAAACUGCUCUUCUAGAGUGGGCGAGAAGUAUGCGGAAUGCGUGGUGUAGCGGUGAAAUGCAUAGAUAUCACGCAGAACUCCGAUUGCGAAGGCAGCAUACCGGCGCCCAACUGACGCUCAUGCACGAAAGCGUGGGUAUCGAACAGGAUUAGAAACCCUAGUAA